AUUGAACGCUGGCGGCAUGCUUUACACAUGCAAGUCGAACGGCAGCGCGGGCUUCGUCCUUGCUUCGAGUGGCGAACGGGGGAGUAAGGCAUCUGAACGGGCCACGUAGUGGGGGAUAGGGCGGCGAAAGGCGGACGAAUACCGCAAACGACUAGAGGGUGAAAGCGGGGGAGGGAAAGGCCCCGCGCUCUUGCAGUCGGCGAUGUCGGAAUAGCUCGAUGGUGGGGUAAAGGCUUACCAAGGCGAUGAUCCGUAGCUGGUCUGAGAGGACGACCAGCCACACUGGAACUGAGACACGGCCCAGACUCCUACGGGAGGCAGCAGUGGGGAAUUUUGCACAAUGGGGGCAACCCUGAUCCAGCCAUGCCGCGUGCGUGAAGAAGGCCUUCGGGUUGUAAAGCGCUUUUGUCCGGGAAGAAGUCCUCUGAGCUAAUACCCCGGGGCGAUGACGUUACCGGAAGAAUAAGCACCGGCUAACUCCGUG
rnacentral:rRNA from 1 species